rnacentral:rRNA from 1 species
UACGAAGGGGGGCUAGCGUUUGUUCGGAUUUACUGGGCGUAAAGCGCACGUAGGCGGCCUGUUAAGUCGGGUGUGAAAGCCCUGGGCUCAACCCAGGAAGUGCACUCGAACUGGCGGGCUUGAAUAUGGAAGAGGGUCGCGGAAUUCCCGGUGUAGAGGUGAAAUUCGUAGAUAUCGGGAGGAACACCAGUGGCGAAGGCGGCGCCUGGGCCAAUAUUGA